CUGAGGUCACCACCUAUAAUUGCAGUGUUUAUAAAACUUACAUCAAGUACGUUACACUGAUUAUUUGACAUCACGAUUUGUCUCUCACGCUUAAGGCUUUUGUUUGGUCUUUGCCAUGGAAAAUUCUAUAUGGAUGUAUGUAUAUUUUUUUCUUCCUUCUUUGGCACUGAAAUAAGAAUUGUAAUCAAAGGAAGUCCUUAUCUAAAGUCAAAAGUAUUUUUUCCCUGUUUCAACAAUAUCUUUAUUAUUAAGCGAAACGGUGCAUGCAUAUAUAAGGGGAAUGAUCCACUUGAGGCACAUUAAAGCACAGCACCAUGAAGCCUGCAGUACUGGUCCUUAUUGUGAGCCUCGUCCUCCUUGUGGCAGCCGACAAAAGUAAAGAUGCGGUAGAAACGAAGCAGAAGGUUAAUCCAGAGUUUGAGCACCCACACAGCUUGAAGAAAAGGUCGUUGGGAGUCUCAAAGGAUAAAAAUACCCUUAAAGGUGGUAGUCUCGGCGCAGACAUCAAAUUCUAGGACUGUUGUGAGAAGCUCAAGAACGGAAGAAAGUGACGGACUCUCUAUGGGAAAAUGAACUCAUUCUUAAAAAAAAUAUAUAUAUAUAUAUAGA